rnacentral:rRNA from 1 species
AUUGAACGCUGGCGGCAGGCCUAACACAUGCAAGUCGGACGGUAGCACAGAGAGCUUGCUCUUGGGUGACGAGUGGCGGACGGGUGAGUAAUGUCUGGGGAUCUGCCCGAUAGAGGGGGAUAACCACUGGAAACGGUGGCUAAUACCGCAUAACGUCGCAAGACCAAAGAGGGGGACCUUCGGGCCCCUCACUAUCGGAUGAACCCAGAUGGGAUUAGCUAGUAGGCGGGGUAAUGGCCCACCUAGGCGACGAUCCCUAGCUGGUCUGAGAGGAUGACCAGCCACACUGGAACUGAGACACGGUCCAGACUCCUACGGGAGGCAGCAGUGGGGAAUAUUGCACAAUGGGCGCAAGCCUGAUGCAGCCAUGCCGCGUGUAUGAAGAAGGCCUUCGGGUUGUAAAGUACUUUCAGCGGGGAGGAAGGCGGUGCGGUUAAUAACCGCGUCGAUUGACGUUACCCGCAGAAGAAGCACCGGCUAACUCCGUGCCAGCAGCCGCCGUAA